UACAGAGGGGGCAAGCGUUGUUCGGAAUUACUGGGCGUAAAGGGCGCGUAGGCGGCCGCCUAAGUCGGACGUGAAAUCCCUCGGCUCAACCGGGGAACUGCGUCCGAUACUGGGUGGCUCGAAUCCGGGAGAGGGAUGUGGAAUUCCAGGUGUAGCGGUGAAAUGCGUAGAUAUCUGGAGGAACACCGGUGGCGAAGGCGGCAUCCUGGACCGGUAUUGACGCUGAGGCGCGAAAGCCAGGGGAGCAAACGGG
rnacentral:rRNA from 1 species